GACGAACGCUGGCGGCGUGCCUAAUACAUGCAAGUAGAACGCAGUUGCGAACGGGUGAGUAACGCGUAGGUAACUGCCUCAUAGCGGGGGAUAACUAUUGGAAACGAUAGCUAAUACCGCAUACUGUGAGAUGGACAUGCGUUGUAUUAGGUAGUUGGUGAGGUAAAGGCUCACCAAGGCGACGAUACAUAGCCGACCUGGGAGGGUUGUCGGCCCAACUGGGACUGAGACAAGGCCCCAGCUCCCACGGGAGGCAGCCGUAGGGAAUCAUCGGCAAUGGAGGGAAGGCUGACCGAGCAACGCCGCGGGAGUGAAGAAGGUUUUCGGAACGUUAAGCUCUGUUGUUAGAGAAGCGGUAACUAAACAGAAAGGGACGGCUAACUACGUGCCAGCAGCCGCGGUAAUUC
rnacentral:rRNA from 1 species